GUAAUAUGUUCUCUCAUCUUCCCUCCUGAUUUUCCAUAACUAAUCACUUCUUGCAAAGAGAAUUAUAAAACCUGUGUUUAUUGAAUUCAUUUUAUUUGCCUUCUCACUCAUGCUUUAAUGUUACUUAUUUGAUCAAUAACACCUUACUGAUACAGUAAUAAUAAUAAUACAUUAAUAUUACAUUUUUAUACAUACCAACUGCAAUAUAAUGUAAUUUGACCAUUGACAGGUACAAACCAUCAGCACAAGGGACUCCAGGGGCCCCUGGUGAAGAUCCAACUACUGACUACAUGAAUGUACUAGGCAUGAUCUUCAGCAUGUGUGGUCUAAUGAUGAGAUUGAAGUGGUGUGCUUGGGUUGCGCUAUACUGCUCCUGCAUCAGCUUUGCCAACUCGAGAGUCAAUGACGA
rnacentral:lncRNA from 1 species